AAAUGCAUAAAGAGAGGUAAAUUAGAUUUCUUUAAAUGGAAUUUUGGAAAGUAAUAAUGGGUGAGAGAAUUUUCCCAGAGUACCUUGGGAGACGCAAUUGUCUUGGCAUUUGGGGACUGAACCUGUGGUGAUAAGGAGUUCUGAAAAGCAUCUUGACAAAACCUGUGAACUUCUUAGUUACUUUGCUAUGACAAAUUUCAUCUACUGAACCAUAACAUCAGACGAGAUUGGUGCUAGAAAAAAUCCAUUGCCAGCCCAUCUGGUUUGCUGACGCUCAUUGAUAUUCCUCAACAUUUGCCAGGAGUGGAAACAGUUGCCAUCGAUGUGUUUUGCAAAUGGAAAACUGAAAACUGCAUACACUAGACUCCAUAUAUUCAAGAAAUGAGUUGUUCUUCCUUCUUUGUUGACUGUGUGGGCCAAGCUUUAGGUAACUGGAACCCUGGAGUCGUGAGUGAGGUUGGACCCUGCCCAUGUCAUCAGACCUUCCAACCUUCAAGACAUCAUGUCAUCUUGGAAGAACAGAAACUGGCAGAAAACAAGAAAUAAAGUUAAGGGUAGCAUCAAGGAAGAACUAAAGUUUAAGAGGGUAUCCUAACCUCCCAGAAAACAGAGCCUGCCUAUAAAAAGAUAGGAAAAAUUAGCAGAAAAAAACACAUCUAAGUGUAAAUAAUUUUUAUGGAGAAAAUGAGCAAGGCACAGACACAGAAGGGCACAGGGAAAGCAAAACAAACACAUUCAAAGUCAAAAAAGAAAAAUAUGGAUUUUGGAAAAAUACAGAUUCUGGAAGAGCACACAAAGGACUUUGGAAACCAAUUAAGAGAGUCAGAGGAAAAGUGGGGUAGAGAAAUGAAAGCAAUGCAAGAAGAAAUGGGCCAAAUGAAAAAGGAGACACAAAAAGUGAUGGAGGAAAAUCAGAUCUUAAAUAUUAGAAUCAAAUAACUACAAACUAAUGAUUCUAUGAGACAUCAAGAAAAACUAAAACAAAAUCAAAAGAAUGAAAAAAAGCAGAAGAUAAAAUGAAAUAUUUCAUUGAAUAAACAACUGGCCAAGAAAAGAGAUCAAGGAGAGACAAUUUAAGAAUUAUUGGACUACCUUAAAGCCAUGAUCAAAGAAAUAAAAAGCACAGACAUCUCAUAAUACAAGAAAUCAUCAAGGAAAACUACCCAGAUAUUUUCAUACAAGAAAAUAAAAUAGAAAUAGAAAGAAUCCACAGAUCACCUCCAGAAAGAAAUCCUCAAAUAAAAAAUUUCAAGAAUAUAAUAGCAAAAUUCAAGAGCCCCAAAGCCAAAGAAAAAUUAGUGUAAGCAGUCAGAAAGAAAAAAAUUUAAAUACCAUGGAGCUACAAUUAGGAUCACAUAGAACCUAGCAGCUUUCACAUUAAAAAUAUCAAAAGGCAUAAAAUAUGGUAUUCAGGAAGGUUAAAGAUUUGGGUUUACAACUCAGAAUCACCUUUCCAGAAAAACUGAGUACAUUCUUUCGGGGGGGGGGAGGGGAUUGAUAUUCAAUGAGAUAGAUUUCCAAGCAUUCCUGAGGAAUAAGCCAGACCUAAACAAAAAAAAAAUUUGAAGUCCAAAAAUGAGACCCAAGAGAAGCCUAAAAAGGCAAAUAAGAAAGAGAAAAUUUAAGGGACCCAUUAAGGUCAAAAUAUUUGUAUUUCUACAUGGAAAGAGGAUAUCUAUAAUUCUCAAACAUUAUUCUUAGUAUAGGGUAGGUAGAAGGAAUAGACUUAGAAAGAGGGUGGGGAAGUAAGCUGAUUAUGAUGAUAUGGUAUGCAAAAAAAUCCAGGGGUGAUAAAGAGGAUUGCAGUGAGAGAAAAGGGAAAAGAGAGAUAGGAUGGAGAAAAUUACAUAGCAUAAAUAGGCAUGAAAAUUUGUUAUGGGGAGGGGAGGAUAAGGGUGUUGACUGGCAAUGUUUGAACAUCACUCUCAUCAUAAUUAGCUAAGAGAGGGAAAAACAAAUAGGGGCAGAGAAUUUUAUCUUGCCCUAUAAAGAAAUAGAAAAGCAAUAAGACAAGGGAAGGGGGAGGUAAUUGGAGGGAGCUGAAUGCAGGAAGUGAUAAAAAAAAUACUGGUGAGGUGAAAUGGAGUGAAAGGGAAUAGAACAGGAUUAAAAGGGGAAAAUAAGAUAGAAGGCAACACACAGUUAGUAAUCAUAAUUCUGAAUGUGAAUGGGAAGAACUCAUGCAUGAAAUGGAAGCAAAUAGUAGAGUGGAUUAAAAACCAAAAUCCUAUUAUAUGUUGCUUACAAGAAACUCGUUUGAGGUAGGGUGACACACACAUAUUAAAGGUAAAAGGCUGGACCAGAAUUUAUUAUUUGUCAUCUAAAGAAAAAAAAGGCAGGAGUAUCAAUCAUGAUAUCAGACAAAGCUAAAGUAAAAGUUGAUCUGAUUAAAAGAGAUAACGAAGGAAAUCACAUCUUGCUAAAACGGUACUAUAAACGAAGUAAUAUAGAUAUUAAAUGUUUAUGCACCAAAUGAUAUAUAGAAUCCAUAUUUUUAAAGUAGAAGCUAAAGAAGGAGAUAGUAAAAUAAUACUAGUUGUAGACCUCAACCUUCCUCUUUCAGAACUAGAUGAAUUAAACCAAAAAAAAAAAUAAGAA